AAAACAAAAAACAAAAAAUGAGGGAUUUGAUUUCAAAUCGAAGAAGAGCUCGUGUCGUAAAAGCUCUUCGAAUCCCUUCGCUCACUUUGAGCUCAGAACCUCCUCUACUCUCACUUCCGGCUCUCGAUUUUGCAGAUUGGUUUUGCUUUCUUGAAAUAAUCUUGUUCGUGAUACUUUGUCUGUCAUCUACUUCUGGAAUAACAAAAAUCCGAGAAAAAAACAGGUAUUUCCUUUUAGAUUUCCUUGAAUUAAUGGUCUUCGUUUGAUUGCUCUACUCCUCAAAUUAAUGAAUGAUUUCAUUAAUUCAAAAAAAAAAAAAAAAAAAAAGGCUGAAGAAUCUUGAGUCAUCAAUAUCCUUCCUGAAUCUAAUAACGUUGGAUGUAUGUGGGACUGCAAGAAGAUGAAAUAUUUAACAAGCUACGAGGUAGCUAAAAGUUUAGUGCAACUCACAACAUUGAAAGUUUGGUAUUGUGAAAGACUGGCGGAAAUUAUAGUAGCAAGCAGCAACCGAGAUGAUGAUGGCGACAACGAGAAUGCAGGAGGAAUUGUUUUCAAAAGGUUACGGCCGGCAUUUGACACUUCUUCAACUACCAAGACUGCAAGGAUUUUGCUUGGGAAGAAAUUGCAUCGUCAAAUUCCCAUCCUUGCAAACCUUGGACAUCAGCAAGCGCCUCAAUAAACUGAUCGAAGAUCGAUUGUCCCUCAUCGUGACCAAACCCUAUUGAAGAUUGGCAAUUGAAGGGCAAGAUUGCUGGUGAUGGCAAUGUGGACAACAAGGAUAAUGCACAGGACGAGGUCACUAAUGAACAAUAGAUUCAUAUCCCAACUUGGAGAUUUAGGACUGUCCACACCCAGCAGAGUUCCCAAGCAAACUAAAGUAUAUUUGCUUCGGUUUCUAGGCAUGCUGUGAACGCCAUUUCCACCAUUGCCUCUCUUAAUCUUGUAUAAUAAA